rnacentral:rRNA from 1 species
GAUGAACGCUGGCGGCGUGCCUAAUACAUGCAAGUCGAGCGAACAGACGAGGAGCUUGCUCCUCUGACGUUAGCGGCGGACGGGUGAGUAACACGUGGAUAACCUACCUAUAAGACUGGGAUAACUUCGGGAAACCGUAGCUAAUACCGGAUAAUAUAUUGAACCGCAUGGUUCAAUAGUGAAAGACGGUUUUGCUGUCACUUAUAGAUGAAUCCGCGCCUCAUUGGCUAGUUGGGAAGGUAACGGCUUACCAAGGCGACGAUGCGUAGCCGACCUGAAAGGGUGAUCGGCCACACUGGACCUGAGCCACGGUCCAGACUCCUACGGGAGGCAGCAGUAGGGAAUCUUCCGCAAUGGGCGAAAGCCUGACGGAGCAACGCCGCGUGAGUGAUGAAGGUCUUCGGUUCGUAAAACUCUGUUAUUAGGGAAGAACAAAUGUGUAAGUAACUAUGCACGUCUUGACGGUACCUAAUCAGAAAGCCACGGCUAACUACGUG